CCUACGGGUGGCAGCAGUGGGGAAUAUUGGACAAUGGGCGAAAGCCUGAUCCAGCCAUGCCGCGUGUGUGAAGAAGGCCUUCGGGUUGUAAAGCACUUUCAGUGGGGAAGAAAGCCUUGGGGCUAAUACCCUCGAGGAAGGACAUCACCCACAGAAGAAGCACCGGCUAACUCCGUGCCAGCAGCCGCGGUAAUACGGAGGGUGCGAGCGUUAAUCGGAAUUACUGGGCGUAAAGCGCGCGUAGGCGGUCUGAUAAGCCGGUUGUGAAAGCCCCGGGCUCAACCUGGGAACGGCAUCCGGAACUGUCAGGCUAGAGUGCAGGAGAGGAAGGUAGAAUUCCCGGUGUAGCGGUGAAAUGCGUAGAGAUCGGGAGGAAUACCAGUGGCGAAGGCAGCCUUCUGGACUGACACUGACGCUGAGGUGCGAAAGCGUGGGUAGCAAACAGGAUUAGAUACCCUGGUAGUC
rnacentral:rRNA from 1 species